rnacentral:rRNA from 1 species
GACGAACGCUGGCGGCGUGCUUAACACAUGCAAGUCGAACGGUAAGGCCCUUCGGGGUACGCGAGUGGCGAACGGGUGAGUAACACGUGGGUGAUCUGCCCUGCACUUCGGGAUAAGCCUGGGAAACUGGGUCUAAUACCGGAUAGGACCACUGCCUGCAUGGGUGGUGGUGGAAACCUUUUGCGGUGUGGGAUGGGCCCGCGGCCUAUCAGCUUGUUGGUGGGGUGAUGGCCUACCAAGGCGACGACGGGUAGCCGGCCUGAGAGGGUGACCGGCCACACUGGGACUGAGAUACGGCCCAGACUCCUACGGGAGGCAGCAGUGGGGAAUAUUGCACAAUGGGCGCAAGCCUGAUGCAGCGACGCCGCGUGAGGGAUGACGGCCUUCGGGUUGUAAACCUCUUUCAGCACCGACGAAGCGCAAGUGACGGUAGGUGCAGAAGAAGGACCGGCCAACUACGUGCCAGCAGCCGCGGUAA